rnacentral:rRNA from 1 species
AGUCGAACGGUGGCAGCAAUGUCAUAGUGGCGCACGGGUGCGUAACACGUAACUAACCUACCUACAACUGGGGGAUAGCCCGCCGAAAGGCGGAUUAAUACCGCAUAAGCCAGGGACCCGGCAUCGGGAUUUUGGUAAAGAUUUAUUGGUUAUAGAUGGGGUUGCGGGUCAUUAGCUAGUUGGUUGGGUAACGGCUGACCAAGGCGACGAUGACUAGGGGAGCUGAGAGGCUGGUCCCCCACACGGGCACUGAGAUACGGGCCCGACUCCUACGGGAGGCAGCAGUAGGGAAUAUUGGGCAAUGGGCGAGAGCCUGACCCAGCCAUGCCGCGUGCAGGAAGAAGGCUUUCUGAGUCGUAAACUGCUUUUGACAGGGAAGAAUAAGGACUACGUGUAGUCUGAUGACGGUACCUGCAGAAUAAGCACCGGCUAACUCCGUGCCAGCAGCCGCGGUAAUACGGAGGGUGCGAGCGUUGUCCGGAUUUAUUGGGUUUAAAGGGUGCGUAGGCGGCCCGUUAAGUCCGGGGUGAAAGCCCGUUGCUCAACAACGGAACUGCCCUGGAUACUGACGGGCUUGAGUACAGACGAGGUUGGCGGAAUGGACCGAGUAGCGGUGAAAUGCAUAGAUACGGUCCAGAACCCCGAUUGCGAAGGCAGCCGACUAGGCUGUUACUGACGCUGAGGCACGACAGCGUGGGGAGCGAACAGGAUUAGAUACCCUGGUAGUCCACGCCGUAAACGAUGGAUACUCGCUGCGAGCUAAAGAUUGUUCGUGGCUUAGGGAAACCGAUAAGUAUCCCACCUGGGGAGUACGCUCGCAAGAGUGAAACUCAAAGGAAUUGAC